GGAUGCGAUUAUACCAGCACUAAAGCACCGGAUCCCAUCAGAACUCCGAAGUUAAGCGUGCUUGGGCGAGAGUAGUACUAGGAUGGGUGACCUCCUGGGAAGUCCUCGUGUUGCAUUCC
rnacentral:rRNA from 2 species